CGAGCUGGGGGCCUGGCGCAGAGGGGAAAGGGGGGCGCCAGGGUGAUGGGGACCCAGAGCCUGCUCUUGGGAACAGCCAGAGUAAGAUUGGAACCCAGACUUGCAGUCCAGCGCUGUUUGCAUUAAAAGGGCUAAAGGAAAGUCACCUGCAAGCGAUCCCGGCACUGAUCUGGAGCAGCUGACAGGGUGGGUCUCCCUUACCAAAGAGAAGAACCACUCUCUGGCGCUGGGGUGACCUGCUGGCUGGGCCUGUAAGGUUUCCAUGUUGCUGAGGCCAUGGAGAUUCCCAGAGCUGGUCACACCGACCGCUCUCAGGGCCCGCUGCCCUGGGCUGGCAACACCAAUUCUGGCCUUGGCCUGCAGAAGCUUUCAGAGUCUUCACUGGCAGUAGGGGGAGAUGGGGAGAGGAAUGACCUCUGCCCAGCCCCUUCCUUUCCAAACCAUGCAAUGGAAGAGCCCAGAUGGGUGAAGAUUGAUUUUGCCUUAACUCAAGAGAAUUCCUGUUCUCCUUGUGCUAUGAUUUGGACACAAGAUUCUGGAUACCUGGAACUUAGCUGUGUACUCCUGUACCCUAAACAGUGGAUUUGAGUUCCAGCCUUUAUUCUUUUUUCCUUUUUUCAGAUCACCAUCUAAGUUACAUCUUUAGCUCAGGUCCAUCCUUCUCAAGAUCUCCUUCCUAGCCCCCCAGCCC
rnacentral:sRNA from 1 species